ACCUAAUGGUGGGGACACUGAUAGAGUAAAUCUUGAAACCUUUCCUAAGUCUCAUGCAAAUUCUCACCAUCAAUUUGAGAAAAAUUGGUGAUAUCAUGUCUUAUCU